GUACUGCUGAAGAGUCCCAAACUAGGACGAAACAGCUGCCCAGUAC
rfam:Trichobilharzia regenti genome assembly, scaffold: TRE_scaffold0017873